rnacentral:lncRNA from 12 species
AAGCCAGGGAGAAGACAUAUUAGAUUUUGUCUCCAUUUCUAUUGAAAUAACUCUGUCAUCUUCAAUGCUUCCUCCAACUAAUGCCCCCAAGUAGGGGAUGUUAAGGACAUCUCAAGAACACAGUUCCUCACUUAAGACAGGCUUUUGGACUGUUUGCUCUUCAAUUGUUCUGACUCAGACUUUCUACUAGGAUGUUUGAUGGAAAAUCCACUGAGGCCAGUAAGGAAUCAUAAAGACAUUUUGCUGCCAUGCUGUCCCAAAUGCCAUUCCCAUCAGUUCACAGAAGCCAGGAAAGACGGAUGAAAACAUAUCAAUAGCUGUGAAUUUAAUAUUUUUAGAACAUCAAGCCAAAGAAAUAAGGACUGAGAGGCGAUCAAUUCAGAAGAGGGCACAGAGUACAGACAGUUAUCCUGGAAAUAUCUUGAUUUCUAAGAAUGCUGUUUCUAAGAAGAGCUUGGGAAGAUGGCAGAGUAGGAGGAUGCUGAGCUCACUCCAUCCCACAUUCACAACUAGAUAUCCUCCACAUUCAAGUCAAUAAACUAGAGAAUGACCUGAAUACUGACCGAACAAACUUCACAACUAUAUAGAGGGAAGAAGAUGCCUCUGAAAGGUUAGGAAGGUCCAAUAGGCAGAGAGAGGCUGCCUGCAGGAGGGAGGGAGCUGAACAUGUGAAGAGGGCAAAGAAAUGGGCCAUUGAUUGUAC